UUUUUUGGAAAAAAAAAAAAAAAAAAAAAAAAAAAAAAAAAAAAAAAAAAAAAAAAAAAAAAAAAUCAAAAUGUGAAAUAUUUCCAAAGUGAAAUAUUUCACCCUGCCCUGAAAGAUUUCGAUACCGCUUCCACAGGCAACACUUUCCCGUCGGGGUAGCUUGGCGGGUGCCGAAGUUAUGCCACUUUGAAAUUCCUCUGCUUAGCUGUCAAACUGAUGUCACAACUUUUUUUCGUGCUCAGAUACACUGUUUACACUAAAAUAGUGCAACUCAGGCACAUUUUGGACACUUUUUUCGAAUUUCUGUUUUUGCACCACGUCGCACACGCACACGGUGAGUAUUCGCAAUUGGCAGAUGUCACAAAAAAACAGAAAUUUUCUGCACGUCGAUGGUCACCUAAACUAUGGUUACUCGUGUAACGGCACCUUAACAAUCGGUCCGUCAGGGGCCGUACAGUCAACCCACCCAAUUUCACCCGGAACCGAAUUUUCAUAAAUUUGUUCCCCGAAUAAUAUUAAAUAUUAUUUCAUUUUUUCGGUCACAGAACGGGCGAUUUUCGAUCGGUUUUCACUGGAUGAACGUUCUUUGGCCACCCGCUGGCCUUAAAAACCGCACCCGGCGAGAAUCUGGGCAAAUUAUAUCGCUGAAAACAGAGAUCCGGCGAAACCUUGGCCUAGUAUGGGCUGGAUGACGCAAAACUUUUUUCACAAUUUUGUGGUUUUUUCAUGCGCGGAUCACUUCUUUACACCUUUUUUCGUGCUCAGAUGCACUGUUUACACUAAAAUAGUGCAACUCAGGCACAUUUUGCGCACUUUUCGAAUUUCUUCUUUAGCACCACGUCACACAAACACACGGUGAGCAUUCGCAAUAGGCCGAUGUCACAAACAUUUUCCGCCCGUCGAUGGUCACCUAAACUAUGGUUACUCGUGUAACGGCACCUUAACGAUCGGUCCGUCCGAGCUGUCAGGCCGUUUGACAACCGAUGCCUAACUCAGGGGCCGUCAGGGGCCGUACAGUCAACCCACCCAAUUUCACCUGGAACCGAAUUUUCGUAAAUUUGUUCACCGAAUAAUAUUAAAUAUUAUUUCACUUUUUUUCGGUCACAAACGGCCGAUUUUCGAUCGGUUUUCACUGGAUGAACGUUCUUUGGCCACCCGAUGGCCUUUAAAACCACACCCGGCGAGAAUCUGGGCAAAUUAUAUCCCUGCAAACAGAGAUCCGGCGAUUACUUGGCCCAGUAUGGGCUGGAUGACGCAAAACUAUUUUCACAAUUUUGUGGUUUUUUCAUGCGCGGAUCACUUCUUAACACCUUUUUUCGUGCUCAGAUGCACUGUUUACACUAAAAUAGUGCAACUCAGGCACAUUUUGGGCACUUUUUUCGAAUUUCUUCUUUUGCACCACGUCACACAAACACACGGUGAGCAUUCGCAAUAGGCCGAUGUCACAAAAAUUUUCCGCACGUCGAUGGUCACCUAAACUAUGGUUACUCGUGUAACGGCACCUUAACUCAGGGGCCGUCAGGGGCCGUACAGUCAACCCACCCAAUUUCACCCAAUUUCACCUGGAACCGAAUUUUCGUAAAUUUGUUCACCGAAUAAUAUUAAAUAUUACUUCACUUUUUUCGGUCACAAAACGGCCGAUUUUCGAUCGGUUUUCACUGGAUGAACGUUCUUUGGCCGCCCGAUGGCCUUAAAAACCACACCCGGCGAGAAUCUGGGCAAAUUAUAUCGCUGAAAACACAGAUCCGGCGAUUACUUGGCCCAGUAUGGGCUGGAUGACGCAAAACUUUUUUUUUUCACAAUUUUGUGGUUUUUUCAUGCGCGGAUCACUUCUUAACACCUUUUUUCGUGCUCAGAUGCACUGUUUACACUAAAAUCGUGCAAUUCUGGCACUUUUUGGGCACUUUUUUCGAUUUUCUGCUUUUACACCAUGUCACACAAACACAUGGUGGGGGGUUCAUAGGCAUCAAACACAAAUGCACGAUUUUUGUUGAAUUUUCGCCUUAAAAACACUUGAUAACGCUCUUAAAGGGUAAAUCAGGUGCCCUGAGCACGUUUUUCACACUAUUAAAGUCGAUUAACGACGAUUUUGCACUGUUUUUAAGUCCUUUUUUCGGAGCCCAAACACAACGUGUCGGUACAGUACGACCUCACGUUUGACACUCACAGGGAUAACUGGCUUGUGGCCGCCAAGCGUUCAUAGCGACGUGGCUUUUUGAUCCUUCGAUGUCGGCUCUUCCUAUCAUUGUGAAGCAAAAUUCACCAAGCGUAGGAUUGUUCACCCUUUCAAGGGAACGUGAGCUGGGUUUAGACCGUCGUGAGACAGGUUAGUUUUACCCUACUGGUGUGUGCUUAUAGUCGCUAUCUUAACGGAAUUCCUGUGCAGUACGAGAGGAACCACAGGUACGGACCACUGGCUCAAUACUAGUCCGACCGGACUUUGGUAUGACGCUACGUCCGCUGGAUUAUGCCUGAACGCCUCUAAGUGGAGGGCAAGUCUGGUGCCAGCAGCCGCGGUAAUUCCAGCUCCACUAGCGUAUAUUAAAGUUGUUGCGGUUAAAACGUUCGAAGUUGAUACCCCGUCCAGACUCGCGUCCGUCGCGGGCGCCCGGCCUCUCGGUUGGGACCGUCCGUGUACGCGCUCGCGGCUGCGACUCACAAUGGUGUACCUGGGCGUUCUACUCCGUGACGGGUCAGGACUUGUCGCCGCGACCUCGUCGGUCAAGGUCUUGUUCGACCCAGCUUCAUGGUGCCCGGGAACUCUCGUUUACCUUGAACAAAUUAGAGUGCUCAAAGCAGGCUAGUUCAAAGCGUCCGGUCCUCCGGGGCCGGCGUUGGCCGAGAAUAAUUUUGCAUGGAAUAAUGGAACAUGACCUCGGUCUGAGUGGUUUCGUUGGUUUGUAAUAGACCAAGAGGUAAUGAUUAACAGAAGUAGUCGGGGGCAUUGGUAA